UACGUAGGGGGCAAGCGUUGUCCGGAAUCAUUGGGCGUAAAGAGCGUGUAGGCGGCCCGAUAAGUCCGCUGUGAAAGUCAAAGGCUCAACCUUUGAAAGCCGGUGGAUACUGUGGGACUAGAGUACGGAAGAGGCGAGUGGAAUUCCUGGUGUAGCGGUGGAAUGCGCAGAUAUCAGGAGGAACACCAAUAGCGAAGGCAGCUCGCUGGGACGUUACUGACACUGAGGCGCGAAAGCGUGGGGAGCGAACAGG
rnacentral:rRNA from 1 species